rnacentral:rRNA from 1 species
ACGGGGGGGGCAAGCGUUAUUCGGAAUUACUGGGUGUAAAGGGCGCGUAGGCGGCCGAAUUGGUCAGGUGUGAAAUCCCUAGGCUUACCUUAGGAACUGCGCUUGAUACCAUUCGGCUUGAGUACAGGAGAGGUGGGCGGAAUUCCAGGUGUAGCGGUGAAAUGCGUAGAUAUCUGGAAGAACACCGGUGGCGAAGGCGGCUCACUGGAAUGUCACUGACGCUGAAGCGCGAAAGCGUGGGGAGCGAACGG